rnacentral:rRNA from 1 species
UACGGGGGGGGCGAGCGUUGUCCGAAGUUACUGGGCGUAAAGAGCGUGUAGGCGGCUUGUUAAGUCUUGCGUGAAAUCUCGGGGCUCAACCCCGAGCGGUCGUGAGAAACUGGCAGGCUAGAGUGCGGGAGAGGAGAGUGGAAUUCCUGGUGUAGCGGUGAAAUGCGCAGAUAUCAGGAAGAACACCCGUGGCUAAGGCGGCUCUCUAGUACGGUACUGACGCUGAGACGCGAAAGCGUGGGGAGCGAACAGG